CAACUGUUGCUGAGGAUCCAUAUUUCGCUCCUGUUCCUAUCCCAAUGGUCCUCUGUGGUCAAUCUUCUUUCUCCAGUGUUCACGGAAUGUUCCUCAAAGGGCCACAGUUUCCUGUGAUAGACAUAGGUUGGAUUCUACUUCAUGCAAUACUGUGAACCUAGAAGAGGGAGAUGGACCUUCUUCCCAAUCUGACCUCUGGCAGCAAAGCUUCUAAGGUAGACAGGUAUCAUUUUCACCUGGAAAGAUUUACAUGAACUGAUGCAA